rnacentral:rRNA from 1 species
GAUGAACGCUGGCGGCGUGCUUAACACAUGCAAGUCGAACGAGAAAUGGAGACGGAAACCUUCGGGCGGAAGGCUUCAUUUCGAGUGGCGGACGGGUGAGUAACGCGUGGGUAACCUGCCUCAUACAGGGGGAUAACAGUUGGAAACGACUGUUAAUACCGCAUAAGACCACAGCACCGCAUGGUGCGGGGGUAAAAACUCCGGUGGUAUGAGAUGGACCCGCGUUCGAUUAGCCAGUUGGCGGGGUAACGGCCCACCAAAGCGACGAUCGAUAGCCGAUCUGAGAGGAUGACCGGCCACAUUGGGACUGAGGCACGGCCCAAACUCCUACGGGAGGCAGCAGUGGGGAAUAUUGCACAAUGGGGGAAACCCUGAUGCAGCGACGCCGCGUGAGUGAAGAAGUACUUCGGUAUGUAAAGCUCUAUCAGCAGGGAAGAAAAUGACGGUACCUGAGGAAGAAGCCCCGGCUAACUACGUG